GACGAACGCUGGCGGCGUGCCUAAUACAUGCAAGUAGAACGCUGAAGAGAGGAGCUUGCUCUUCUUGGAUGAGUUGCGAACGGGUGAGUAACGCGUAGGUAACCUGCCUUGUAGCGGGGGAUAACUAUUGGAAACGAUAGCUAAUACCGCAUAACAAUGGAUGACACAUGUCAUUUAUUUGAAAGGGGCAAUUGCUCCACUACAAGAUGGACCUGCGUUGUAUUAGCUAGUAGGUGAGGUAAUGGCUCACCUAGGCGACGAUACAUAGCCGACCUGAGAGGGUGAUCGGCCACACUGGGAGUGAGACACGGCCCAGACUCCUACGGGAGGCAGCAGUAGGGAAUCUUCGGCAAUAGGGGCAACCCUGACCGAGCAGCGCCGCGGGAGUGAAGAAGGUUUUCGGAUCGGAAAGCUCUGUUGUAAGUCAAGAACGGGUGUGAGAGUGGAAAGUUCACACUGUGACGGUAGCUUACCAGAAAGGGACGGCUAACUACGUG
rnacentral:rRNA from 1 species